GAUGAACGCUGGCGGCGUGCCUAAUACAUGCAAGUCGAGCGAACAGACGAGUAUGUUGCUCCUCUGACGUUAGCGGCGGACGGAUGAGUAACACGUCGAUAACCUACCUAUAAGACUACGAUAACUUCGUGAAACCAGUGCCAAUACCGGAUAAUAUAUUGAACCGCAUGGUUCAAUAGUUUAAGACGGUUUUGCUGUCACUUAUAGAUGGAUCCGGGCUGCAUUAGUUAGUUGGUAGGGUAACGGCUUACGAAGGCAACGAUGGGUAGCCGACCUGAGAGGGUGAAGCGCGACACAGGAACUGAGACGCGGUACAGACUCCGACGGGAGGCAGAAGUAGGGAAUCGUGCGAGAUGUGCGGAAGCUUGAAGGAGGAGCGGCGCGUGGGUGAUGCAGGUCUUCGGACGGUAUAACUCUGUUAUUGGGGAAGAACACAUGUAUAAGUAGCUAUGCACGUGUUGACGGUACCUGAACAAAAAGCAACGGCUAACUACGUG
rnacentral:rRNA from 1 species